GCCCGCUUGGUGGAAUUGGUAGACACAAGGGACUUAAAAUCCCUCGGAAGGAGACUUCUGUGCCGGUUCGAGUCCGGCAGCGGGCACCA
rnacentral:tRNA from 1 species